GGGGAAUUUUCCGCAAUGGGCGAAAGCCUGACGGAGCAAGGACCGCGUGAGGGAGGAAGGCUCUUGGGUUGUAAACCUCUUUUCUCAGGGAAGAAGCUCUGACGGUACCUGAGGAAUCAGCCUCGGCUAACUCCGUGCCAGCAGCCGCGGUAAUACGGAGGAGGCAAGCGUUAUCCGGAAUUAUUGGGCGUAAAGCGUCCGCAGGUGGCGAUUCAAGUCUGCUGUCAAAGCACGGGGCUUAACUCCGUUAAGGCAGUGGAAACUGAAUAGCUAGAGUGCCGUAGGGGUAGAGGGAAUUCCCGGUGUAGCGGUGAAAUGCGUAGAGAUCGGGAAGAACAUCGGUGGCGAAAGCGCUCUACUGGACGGCAACUGACACUCAGGGACGAAAGGCUAGGGGGGAGCGAAUGGGAUUAGAUACCCCAGUAGUC
rnacentral:rRNA from 1 species